rnacentral:rRNA from 1 species
AGUGAACGCUGGCGGUAGGCCUAACACAUGCAAGUCGAACGGCAGCACAGUAAGAGCUUGCUCUUACGGGUGGCGAGUGGCGGACGGGUGAGGAAUACAUCGGAAUCUACUUUUUCGUGGGGGAUAACGUAGGGAAACUUACGCUCAUACCGCAUACGCCCUACGGGUGAAAGCGGUGGAUCUUCGGACCUUGCGCGGUUGAAUGAGCCGCUGUCGGAUUAGCUAGUUGGCGGGGUAAAGGCCCACCAAGGCGACGAUCCGUAGCUGGUCUGAGAGGAUGGUCGGCCACACUGGAACUGAGACACGGUCCAGACUACUACGGGAGGCAGCAGUGGGGAAUAUUGGACAAUGGGCGCAAGCCUGAUCCAGCCAUACCGCGUGGGUGAAGGAGGCCUUCGGGUUGUAAAGCCCGUUUGUUGGGAAAGAAAAGCAGCAGGUUAAUACCCCGCUGUUCUGACGGUACCCAAAGAAUAAGUACCGGCUAACUUCGUG